rnacentral:misc_RNA from 1 species
GAUGAAGAACGUAGCGAAAUGCGAUAAGUAAUGUGAAUUGCAGAAUUCAGUGAAUCAUCGAAUCUUUGAACGCACAUUGCGCCCGCCAGUAUUCUGGCGGGCAUGCCUGUUCGAGCGUCAUUUCAACCAUCAAGCCCUGCUUGCGUUGGGGUCCUGCGGCUGCCCGCAGGCCCUGAAAACCAGUGGCGGGCUCGCUAGUCACACCGAGCGCAGUAAUACAUCUCGCUUUGGGCGUGCGGCGGGUUCUUGCCGUUAAACACCCCCUUUUUACCAAGGUUGACCUCGGAUCUGGUAGGAAUACCCGCUGAACUUAAGCAUAUCAAUAAGCGGAGGA